AGUAAUUAUUUGUUGGUUUUGUAAUGAUUUGUUAUUAUCACAAAUAGUUGAGAAUUUUUAUAUUUAUAAUCGGACGCGAGGGCUGAAGAACCUUCGACGCUUGCGCGAUUUCUCUAGCGCGGGAAAGCAAAGUGUUGGUCUGUACACUACAGAUUCAACUGGCAGCUGUAACAGACGGUUCGCAAACGCACUUGACAGUGCGUGAGACGCACUAGCAGCAUGACAAAUGGUGAUGUGGAGAGGUUUCAGCACGAACAAGAAAAAAUUUGCCAAUCGUUGACAACUGAAUAUGUCGUGAAUAAUGUGACGGAUCGAUGCCCACCAUCAUUUGAUGGACUUCUUUGCUGGCCAAGUACGGUUGCCAAUGCAACUGCUGUACUGUCAUGUCCUCCACGUGCUGUUCUUGGAUAUGAGAAUCCUAACAAUGGCACAUCGACGAAACAAUGUCUCCCAGGGGGUAACUGGUACAAUAAUUCGCUUGGAAUCACUUGGAGCAAUUAUACCCUCUGCACACCACCCCCUGGUUACAUCGUCACAGCCGUUGAAAGUAUCGAGAUCACUCACUCCGAGUUGGCGAAGACACACAACUCAACUGUUCUAAUUAAAUGGGUACCAAUAAUAAAAACAAUUGCAAAGGUCGGUUAUGCUUCAUCAAUGACAACGUUAAUAAUCGCCCUGAUAAUUUUUUUACUUCUGAGAAAACUUCGGAAUCAUCGAAAUCGCCUACAUAUGCAUUUGUUCGUAUCCUUCAUCAUGAGAGCAUUCAUGGCACUCCUCAAAGAUCGGCUGAUCAUAAACGGUAUCGGUUCCACUUGGAACAUUGUUCUUGGUGAGGGAAAAAGCACAUUCAUCACGGAAAAACAUAUAUGGGUGUGCAAAGUAAUCACAAGCGCUUGGCAAUACUUCAUCGUUGCUAAUUACGCCUGGAUCUUCAUGGAGGGACUAUAUCUACAUAAUCUCAUUUUCCUCGCAUUCUGCGCUGACACAUCUGCAAUAACUGUGUAUAUAAUCCUCGGUUGGGGAUUACCCGCAAUUGUAGUUGGGGUAUGGGUUGUCAUACGACUUUUGAUGGAAGAUACGCUCUGCUGGACGACCCAUAAUAAUCCUUACUACUUUUUAAUCAUUCGAAUUCCCAUCGUAGUGUCUAUUCUGUUGAACUUCAUUCUUUUCCUAAAUAUCGUGAGAGUAUUAUUAAUAAAAAUGAAGACAUCUGUGCAUUUACAACGAAAAAAAAUGCAUUAUGGAGAUAUAGCUCGCGAAAAGAAGUGGGCGAAGUCAACCCUGGUAUUGGUUCCCCUCUUCGAAGCCCAUUAUACUAUUUUUUUAGGAUUAUCUUACCACGACGACCAUAAAAUUGAACUUAUCUGGCUGUUUUGUGAUCAACUAUUCGCUUCGUUCCAGUCGCGUUUAUAGGAGAAUCGCGGCUUUUCCACGAACAUCCCUACUCCCCAACAUGAUGUUGAAUAAAAUCAUUUGAACCUUUGUACUGAGAUUCGGAGGACAAAAGAAAGUGAUAAGGGGGCCGAGAGUGGGUGGCAACGAUCCAGGGUCAUUGUGACCGUAAAGCAACACUUCACGCAUAUUUCUUGCUUCACUUGCUCUGAAUAGCGAUGUUCGGGUUCCCGGAUGUGCACUAUUCUAUGUCCCGGGACCAUAAACCUAUUAUUUAGCUGUUCGAGAAAGAUUACAUAAACGUAAAAAAAAAUGUCUUGGAUCUUCGGAAAUUUGUAGUAAACAUCAAUUCUUGAAACUCCUCCGCAAUUGGAUGUUUUGUCGCUCUCCUGUAUUGUUUGAUGAACGGUGAAGUUCGAGCUGAGAUGAGACGAGCCUGGAGGGCCCAGCGAUCCCGACGAGGAGCUGAUUCUCUCAUACUGACUCAACGAAAUUUAGGAAAAUCCGGAGAUA